rnacentral:misc_RNA from 1 species
AAGUCGUAACAAGGUAACCGUAGGUGAACCUGCGGUUGGAUCAUUAAAUUGAAAAAAGAAGAGAAAAUAGAAUUUGAAUAGAAUUUCUAUUUUCUUUUUUUUAUAAACAUUUAGAGAUAAUUGAUUGUUAUUGUGGAAAGGGGAAGAAAUCACUUCUUUUUUUUUCCACAAAUUUUAAUUUAAACCAUUUAAAUAAAUUAAUUAAUAAUAAAUAAAAUAAAAAACAACUUUUGACAACGGAUCUCUUGGCUCUC